UACGUAGGGGCCGAGCGUUGUCCGGAGUUACUGGGCGUAAAGCGUGCGCAGGCGGCGCGUUCUGCCCGGCGUGAAAGCCCCCGGCUCAACCGGGGAGGGUCGUCGGGGACGGGCGCGCUUGAGGGUAUCAGGGGCUGGUGGAAUUCCCGGUGUAGUGGUGAAAUGCGUAGAGAUCGGGAGGAACACCUGUGGCGAAGGCGGCCAGCUGGGAUACACCUGACGCUGAGGCACGAAGGCGUGGGGAGCGAACGGGAUUAGAAACCCCCGUAGUCC
rnacentral:rRNA from 1 species